CAGCAGCCGCGGUAAUACAGAGGGUGCGAGCGUUAAUCGGAUUUACUGGGCGUAAAGCGUGCGUAGGCGGCUUCUUAAGUCGGAUGUGAAAUCCCUGAGCUUAACUUAGGAAUUGCAUUUGAUACUGGGAAGCUAGAGUAUGGGAGAGGAUGGUAGAAUUCCAGGUGUAGCGGUGAAAUGCGUAGAGAUCUGGAGGAAUACCGAUGGCGAAGGCAGCCAUCUGGCCUAAUACUGACGCUGAGGUACGAAAGCAUGGGGAGCAAACAGGAUUAGAUACCCCGGUAGUCCCUGUCUCUUAUAC
rnacentral:rRNA from 1 species